CAGUGAGUGGGGGCUAGAUGGUGACUGGCAGUAAUCUGAUACUGAGGUGAGGCGGGGAUAGUGGGUAGGGGUUCCCCUGGGUGGGGAGACCCAGAAACUGUGGGGAUUACUGCCAGGAGCAG